CCUACGGGAGACAGCAGUGAGGAAUAUUUGUCAAUGGACGCAAGUCUGAACCAGCCAUGCCGCGUGCAGGAAGACGGCUCUAUGAGUUGUCAACUGCUUUUGUACGAGGGUAAACGCAGAUACGCGUAUCUGUCUGAAAGUAUCGUACGAAUAAGGAUCGGCUAACUCCGUGCCAGCAGCCGCGGUCAUACGGAGGAUUCAAGCGUUAUCCGGAUUUAUUGGGUUGAAAGGGUGCGUAGGCGGUCGGAUAAGUUAGAGGUGAAAUCCCGAGGCUCAACUUCGGAAUUGCCUCUGAUACUGUUCGGCUAGAGAGUAGUUGCGGUAGGCGGAAUGUAUGGUGUAGCGGUGAAAUGCUUAGAGAGCAUACAGAACACCGAUUGCGAAGGCAGCUUACCAAGCUACUUCUGACGUUGAGGCACGAAAGCGUGGGGAGCAAACAGGAUUAGAUACCCGUGUAGUC
rnacentral:rRNA from 1 species